ACACCCACACCCUACACUCUUUUCUUCUCCAAUUGAUCAAGAACAACAAUACUCAUUUUCUUUAAACCAUCAAUUCCUCCGUUAACAAUCUCAUCCAUUUUCUUCAACCAUUAAUUUCUCUAUUAACAAUCUCACCCAUUUUUCUUCAACCAUUAGUUCUACCAUUAACAACUUCACCCAUUUUCUUCAACCAUUAAUUUUCCCAUGAACAAUCUCACACACAUUCUCCAUCAACACUUUCA
rnacentral:lncRNA from 1 species